GCAACCUCAAAUCAUCCAAAAUGGGUCUUCAAACUGAUAUGUACCCUUCAAAUGGCUUCAAGCAGCAGCUUAGCUACUAUGACGAUAACGACUACUAUUCAUCGGAGGAUAAUUAUUACAGCAACAAUGGCUCAAGCAUGCAAAUGAAGAAGCCUUAUGGUUAUCCCACCUCUAGUCCAACCCAAAAUCAUCACAUGAUGAUGAGCCAUGGCGGCUAUAGCCACGAUGACAAGUACCAAUAUGGGCAUAUGUCUCAUGAUUCUGCUAAUAGUUCCAGCUAUGGAUCAAGUGGUUUUCAACACACUUCCAACAUGAAUGGUGGCUAUGGAUCAAGUGGAAUGCAACACUCUUCCCACGCGAAUGCUGGCUAUGGAAGUGCGAUGUAUGGAAGUGCAAUGCAACAAUCUUCCCACAUUAACGGUGGCUAUGGAAGCGGAAUGCAGCAUGCUUCCCACAUGAGUGGUGGCUAUGGAAGCGGAAUGCAACAUACAUCCAACAUGACUGGUGGUUGCGGCAGUGGAAUGCAACACUCUUCACAGAUGAAUGGUGGUUAUGGGGGUGGGAUGCAUCAAUCUUCCCACACACACAUGUCCAGGGGAGUAGAGAAGGAUUCCGAUAGGAAGCCUGCUUACUAUGAACAGCAUAACAACAAUACUGAUCAUAUGUGGAACAUGAAGAGUUUGAAUGACUAAAUCCCCAAAAGUGUUUUCUCUAAGGUGGAACUAUAUAUGGGUGUUUUUAUUGAGUCUUUGGCUAUAUUACAAAGGCCUAAAACCUAAAUAAUGAAUCUAAACAACCCUGCUACUAUGUACUCUUCCAUGUAUUAGUUACUUUUUUAAUACACAAAACUAUGAAUAAU
rnacentral:misc_RNA from 1 species